CUGGGCUGUUCGUCUUCCCUCUGUCUAAGGAGCCGGUGCGGGGGCCUGCUCGUAAACUCCGGGCUCGGUGCCGGGUGGGCUGGGGCCCCCAGUGGGGAGGCCAGCCUCAGGGCUGAUUGAUGACCUGUGGAUGCUUCCUGAUGCCACCAGCGUGUUUUAUGAUGUCAUUAGGAGACUUCAGCCGCAUUAAGGAAUCCCUCAUGACAUCAUAAAGGACUUGAUAUUUCGCUAAUGUUAUUUCGGUGGAGAGGCGCGGGGACAUUUUAUCGUCCCCAACACUCCCCCAAGAAUUAGGAGUUGUCUAACAGCAUCCAGGAAGAAAUGCAAAACUAGUCAAAUUCACACUCCCGGGGCGAUGGCUAGAGAAUGCUAAUAGGCCUGGGCUCCUCGGGGCCCCGCCGCAGUUUUAGGUGGGAAACAUGAUGUGCUUGUCAAAGCGGGCCCAAAAAGUCAUUCUACCCAGCGCUGACUUUCCCGGAAACUGGGCACCAUUUGUUUGGGAAAACGCGAGCUGAGGCCGGAGGGCCCUCGUAGGGAGUCCGGAAAGCGUGACCUCUGGUCCUUCUGUGACCUUGGUCAAGACUUUUCAUUGCUCUAGGAUUCGCCGUCCGUCACGAUGGGCUGGUCCCUCUGUGAGUUUGAGUGCCGAGCCCAGGCAGGACCCAACCGCUCCACAAAGAACUGGGCAUUAAAGCGAUCCGUGAUCUGGGCUCCAUCUCAACCCUGCCCUCAGCUGAGAAAACUGAGGCCCAUACUUGUCAAAGGUCAUGUAAGUAGGAAACAGAAGAGCCAAAGCCAAUAUUCUUUCCACUCUAAGCCUCUGGGCCAUAUUCCCAGCCUCUGGCCAGAGAGGCCUCUUCCAACUCUGGCGUUCUGUGCUUCCAGAGCCCGGGUGAAGGGCAGCUCCCAGGCCACCAGACAGGGGAAUGCUGGAUGAGAUGACGUCAUGGAGGAGCGAGCCAAUGCCCAGCUUCGGCUGCCUCGAAAGCAGUCUCGGCCACUCCAAACAAGAGGGGAUUGGUUUCACUAAUUGGUUUGAAUAAUUCUUUUGACCCU
rnacentral:lncRNA from 1 species